ACUCCUACGGGAGGCAGCAGUGGGGAAUAUUGCACAAUGGGCGCAAGCCUGAUGCAGCCAUGCCGCGUGUGUGAAGAAGGCCUUCGGGUUGUAAAGCACUUUCAGUUGUGAGGAAGGUGGUGUCGUUAAUAGCGGCAUCAUUUGACGUUAGCAACAGAAGAAGCACCGGCUAACUCCGUGCCAGCAGCCGCGGUAAUACGGAGGGUGCGAGCGUUAAUCGGAAUUACUGGGCGUAAAGCGCAUGCAGGUGGUUUGUUAAGUCAGAUGUGAAAGCCCGGGGCUCAACCUCGGAACUGCAUUUGAAACUGGCAGACUAGAGUACUGUAGAGGGGGGUAGAAUUUCAGGUGUAGCGGUGAAAUGCGUAGAGAUCUGAAGGAUACCGGUGGCGAAGGCGGCCCCCUGGACAGAUACUGACACUCAGAUGCGAAAGCGUGGGGAGCAAACAGGAUUAGAUACCCUGGU
rnacentral:rRNA from 1 species